AAUAACGAGCAAAGAGGGGCAGCUAUAUGAGCCCAAUUUAGCCUGGGGCCCAUAAGCAAACCAACCCAAUUACAAAAUAAAACCCAAACUACCACAGACCCAAAAUCAAACCAAACAAACCUAAACCCCAAACCCAACUAAAUUAAACCCAAAUCAAGUAGCCCAAUUACAAUAAACCCAACCAACCUAAACCCAAACUAAAUUGCCCUAGCCCAAUACAACCCAACCUACCCCAGCC
rnacentral:lncRNA from 1 species